UGAGCAAUCUGCCCUUCACUUCGGGAUAACUCCGGGAAACCGGUGCUAAUACCGAAUACGACCACUUCAGGCAUCUGAUGGUGGUGGAAAGUUCCGGCGGUGAAGGAUGAGCUCGCGGCCUAUCAGCUUGUUGGUGAGGUAACGGCCCACAAGGCAACGACGGGUAGCCGGCCUGAGAGGGUGACCGGCCACACUGGGACUGAGACACGGCCCAGACUCCGUAGGGA
rnacentral:rRNA from 1 species